AAACUUUGAUUAAAUGUUACCUUUUUUCGGAACAUUUACAUAUUUCUCAGAUACAUGAACCAUAAUUUUAAUAAAAAGAGUUGAUCACAUUUUUCGAUCAAACUGACUUUUGAGUAACGGGCGAACCACAGAAUAAACAUGUUAAAUGUGAAUUGAAAAAUAAAUUAUACGAGUUUCUUAUAUACUAUGUUCCUAAUUUUGUCAUUUUUUUUUUUUAAAGGGAGAUGGAUUUAUAUAAGUUUUUCUUGUUUCCGAAUCCCUGUAUUUAUAUUGUAUAAUUAUAUUUCAUGCACUUUUUGAAUAAAAUAUUGUUUAAACUAAA
rnacentral:lncRNA from 1 species